GCCGGGAUAGCUCAGCUGGCAGAGCGCCUGAUUCAUGCUCAGGAGGUCGGGGGGUCGGGACCCUCUCUCGGUA
rnacentral:tRNA from 1 species